rnacentral:rRNA from 1 species
CCUACGGGAGGCAGCCGUGGGGAAUAUUGCGCAAUGGGCGAAAGCCUGACGCAGCGACGCCGCGUGAGGGAUGAAGGUCUUCGGAUCGUAAACCUCUGUCAGCAGGGAAGAAAGGUCACUGUGCUAAUCAGCAGUGAAUUGACGGUACCUGCAAAGGAAGCACCGGCUAACUCCGUGCCAGCAGCCGCGGUAAUACGGAGGGUGCGAGCGUUAAUCGGAAUUACUGGGCGUAAAGCGCUCGUAGGCGGUAUGUCAAGCCAAGGGUGAAAUCCCCGCGCUCAACGUGGGAACUGCCUUGGAAACUGGGAAACUGGAGUGGGUGAGAGGAUAGUGGAAUUCCAGGUGUAGGAGUGAAAUCCGUAGAUAUCUGGAGGAACAUCAGUGGCGAAGGCGACUAUCUGGCACAUAACUGACGCUGAGGAGCGAAAGCGUGGGUAGCAAACAGGAGUAGAUACCCGUGUAGUC